ACCCGCUGAAUUUAAGCAUAUAAGUAAGCGGAGGAAGAGAAACUAAAUAGGAUUCCCUCAGUAAUGGCGAACGAACAGGGAAGAGCUCAGAUUGGAUAUCGGGGCCUGUGGCUCCGAAUUGUAGUCUCGAAAUGCAAUGCCAUCGGGGGCGCAGAUUUAAGCCUCUUGGAAGAGAGCGCCGGCGAGGGUGAGAGUCCCGUUCGUCAAUUUGCAGUCCUCCGUACACGGCUUGCACUUGUUGAGUCACGUUCCUCGGGAUUGGAGCGCAAAUAGGGUGGUAAAUUUCAUCUAAAGCUAAAUAUAUGUUUGAGACCGAUAGCACACAAGUACCAUGAGGGAAAGAUGAAAAGGACUUUGAAAAGAGAGUUAAAAGUGCCUGAAAUUGCUGCAAGGGAAGCGGAUGGAACCAGUCCACGCGGUGAGAUUGUUGGGCGGAGGCGUGCGGGGUUGCACUUUCAACGAAAGUGGGGGUGUGAGUCUCAAUCGCCUUUCGCCUGAUGGUUCUUGCCGUGGGGGUCAUUGGUGAUUGGCAGCCGGGGAAACCUUCAAAGGCAUGGUAGCCCGUCUCCGGAUGGGUGAACGCGUUUGAUAGCACUCGGCCGCUGAUCAUAUCCGAGGUGUCCGGUAACUGGCGGCCUUGAGCGCAACGCGAGAACCAAUCGGUUCUUGCUGCGCGUUCGGCCGUAGGUCCUGACACACAUCUACGACCAAAUGGUUCUUUCCGACCCGUCUUGAAACACGGACCAAGGAGUCUAGCAUAUGUGCGAGUGCUUGGGCUGCAAACCCGUGCGCGCAACGAAAGUGACUGCUGGGAUGUUUGCACCAGCAACCGACUGAUCAAUUGCGAGACGUUUGAGUGUGAGCAUAUCUGCUAGGACCCGAAAGAUGGUGAACUAUGCCUGUGAAGAGCGAACCCAGGGGAAACUCUGGUGGAGGCUCGUAGCGAUACUGACGUGCAAAUCGUUCGU
rnacentral:rRNA from 1 species